rnacentral:rRNA from 1 species
UUUUAAUUAAUAAUUUAUUUUUAUUAUUAUAUUUUUAAAUAAAUAAAUAUUUAUUUUAGUAUAUUUUAAUGAACCAAUUUUUAUUUAUUAUAGUUUGUACUGUUAAGGAUUUUAUUAAAAUUUGUAUAAGAAAUUUUUGUUUAAUGUACCUUUUGUAUCAGGGUUUAUCAAAUGAAAAUCAAUUAAUUGAUUUUCCCGAAAUUUAAAGAUUUAUAAUUUAUAUGAUUUAAAAAAUUUCAUAUUUUUGAUUAAUAUACUUAUAGUUGUUAUAUGCUUUUCAAUUUAAAUAUAUCUGGUUUUUUCUUAAAUAGAUUUAAUUUAUACCCUAUUUUGGUUAAUUUAAGUUAAAUAUUUACUUAAAUAGGUUAAAUUUUUAAAGGGAUAAGCUUUUGAAAACGUUUAUAAUUCUAUUUAUUAGAGUUUAUUUAGGAUUAAUAUUUUCCUUUUUUAUAUUUUUAUAAAAAAAACUCGGUUAUUUUUUGAUUUUUUUUAAUUUAAAAUUUUAGGGAAACAUUAAAGUUAAUUUUUUUAUAAAUGGAUUAUGAUAAAAUUAGUAUAAUUAAUAAUUAAAUUUAAGAACUCGGCAAUUGUAAUUCUCGAAUGUUUAAUAAAAACAUUUCUUUAUCUAUUAUUUAUAUAAAGUAUAACCUGCCCUAUGAUUUUUAAAUGGCCGCGGUAUUUGAUCGUGCUAAGGUAGCAUAAUAAUUUGUCUUUUAAUUGAAGUCUAGUAUGAAGGGUUGAACGAGGAAUUAACUUUUUUAAUUUAAUUUUUUUGAAUUUUAUUUUUUAGUUAAAAAGCUAAAAUUCACUUAUGGGACGAUAAGACCCUAUAGAAUUUUAUUUAUAUUAUUAUUUUUUUAUUUUGGGUUAUUAUAUUUUAAGUAUAAUAAUAUAAAUUUGGUUGGGGCGACUAUUAUAUAAUUAUAACUAUAAUUUUUAUAUUUCAUUAAUAUAUGAUUUAUUUGACCCUAAAUUUUAGGUUAUAAGAAUAAAUUACCUUAGGGAUAACAGCGUAAUUUUCUUGAGGAGUUCUUAUUUAUAAGAAAGAUUGCGACCUCGAUGUUGGAUUAAAAUUAAAUUGUGGUGCAGAAGCUACAAUUUUAAGUCUGUUCGACUUUUAAAAUUUUACAUGAUCUGAGUUAAGACCGGCGUGAGCCAGGUUGGUUUCUAUCUAUUAAUUAUAAUUAAUACUUUAGUACGAAAGGACCAGGUGUUACAAAUAAGUUUGU